AAGUCCACUAUUGUGUGCUAAAAGGCCUUGCCAUACUUAACUAACCUUCCCUCCCACGGGUCUUGCGUAAAGUGCGCCCCGGAUGCUCACCGGCUGCGUGAGAAAGCUACAGUUAGGCAGGAAACACGCAGUUAUCGCAAGGUGGUGCACUGGAGCUGCGAAACGCUGGAGUUUUUCCAUUUUGGGUGAAGAAGAGUUAUUAAAGUCAAAUAUUUCGAAACUUGGACUAAAAAGCUGAGUGAGCAAGUGGGCAAUCAUGUGCUAAAUUGGGGCAUCUCAGGACAGAGCUGGCCUCCUGAUGAUUUUAUUCAGCUGCCUUCUCUCAGCUAGAGAUCAGCUGCUGCUCCAACAAACCACUCCAUAGAAGAUGGCAGAUGCCACCACAGAUUUAAAGAAGGUCUUCAGGAGGGCCCCUUGCAGUUCCAAAGAUCUCAUUCUCCUCAACAGGGCCAGCGGGGAGACUCACGCAGAGCUCUGGGCAGAAAAGGCUGAAGGAGGUUCAAACCCAGCAUGUGACCCAACAUUCAGCUUGCCUCUAUUCACCUUCGUCUGCUCUUGGCCCCUGUGGUUCUGCGUCCAGCUGUUGAAUCACAGAUGAAAAAGGGCUGAUCGGAGUUGACGGGCUGUCUUUGUGCGUGCCUGUCUGAACGCCUGUGGCCGUGCCAAAUGUACAGACUUUUGCAUACUAAUGUUGAGGUCAAGGGUCAUACAAGCACAAAACAUGUGACUUCCGGAGGGAAUGGGUAAGAUGUGUAAGAGGAACUGGGCACACAUGUAUUCUAUUUAUGAAUAGAAAACGGUGGUAAGAAAAUGCCAUCUCAUAAAUCUAAUGUCAAAAAAGGAACAAUAUUACAGGUGAAAUGGUGCUAUGAAAACAUUUAAAAAGAUGAUGGUGUUAUGGUUGCACUUUAAAAUUAGUUAACAAAUUCACACACAUCAUGGGUGUGAAUGUUGUAUCUUUGUUUUGCAUUUAACAUAUUUUUCAGGGUUGGAUAGGUAACUAUAUAGUAAUUGCAUCAAAUAGCUGCAAGGGUAUGUAUGUGUAAUAUUUUUUCUAUCAUCCACAAAGAUUUAUACUAACACUGCUAAUGUUUGGCUAAAUGUCCCCAAUCAGCUUGACCCAUAACUAUCAAAAUCUUCUGGCAUAACUGACUAAAAAGACAGAGAUAACUACACUGCAUUAAUCCCCAGCAUCCAAUAAUGUAAGAUCAUUGGCAGUAAAAACGAAAUUUUAAAUAUAGUUGAAUACUUGGUUGUGGUUAAGCCAAUCAUGAAUUUUAAAUUUUAGUCUGUUUUUUCAUCCUACAACUGGUUUUAUUGUGUGUUUUGGAUCAUUUUCCGGUCGAAACACCCAGCUGUGUCCAAGUUUUAACAAGUUUUAACCAUAUGGACGUAUUCUCUUCAUUUGCAUUACCCUGUUUAUCUGUUGCAAUGCACCAAUGCUGCUGGCAGCAAAGCAGCCCACAGCUUGAUGCUUCCACCAGUUUGCUCACCAUUGUGAACCAGAUUGUUGUUUUAAAGCCUCAUCUUGAUUCCUCCAAACA